GAAAUCCAACUGGAAUUUGAUUGGAAUCAUUUAUCGGUUUACCUUAAUCACAACAAAUGGGUUUAAUUUUGAAUUAUGUUGAAAGUGACAUAAUUCAUUUCCCCCCCAACACACAGAUACCGCCAGUCGUCUACAUGUACCCAACGGGUGGUCUGUCUACAGGGUUGAGUUCAGAAGAGUUAGCUGGGAAGCCAGCCAGCGUCAUGCCCAGGUUUGGAGUCUACAUGCCUGAUUUCGGUGGAAAUGUGCCAGCCUUCCCAAAAGCAUCCACUACCAACCAGGCGGUACAUCCCAGUGUGGUUGCCAUACCAGAUCAGGUUGGAGGGCUUCCAGUACCUGGUGUUCCAGCUCUGGGUGUGGAGGCUGCUCCAUCCAGCCCCGUGCAGCUGGCUGUGGGUCCAGAUGUUCUGAAGCAACCCUCACACCAGAAGAAUCCUCAGGAUCUGUACGCAUGGACCACAGCCAUGCCCAGGGAUCCAGUCCCCAACGUGUCACCUUCCCCCAGCACCGCAGCGACAAAGAGCCAAUCUGUCAUCUAUCCAUAACUGUACAUUUCACGUAUUCAUGCCUAUAAACUACAUUCUAUCUUCUAGAUAAUCAUAUAGAUGCAAAUGCUUUAAGAACUAAAACAAAAUGGUGCAGUAUGAAUUUGGUUCUGCUUGCAGUGGUCGAUUAAGGAAACGUCACUAAUUUUUCAAGGCAUCCUUCCAUACAUAACAAUGCAAUAAUUUUUAAUUCAAUAACUAUUGCAAUAAAUAUACUAUGAACUGUAAGUAUAUGCUGGUG
rnacentral:lncRNA from 1 species